UACGAAUGGGGCAAGCGUUGUUCGGAAUCACUGGGCUUAAAGCGUACGCAGGCGGUUCAGCAAGUCAGAAGUGAAAUCCCAGGGCUUAACCCUGGAAUUGCUUUUGAAACUGCUAGACUAGAAUCCGAGAGAGGUUGGCGGAAUUCCGAGUGUAGAGGUGAAAUUCGCAGAUAUUCGGAGGAACACCAGUGGCGAAGGCGGCCAACUGGAUCGGUAUUGACGCUCAUGUACGAAAGCGUGGGGAUCAAACAGG
rnacentral:rRNA from 1 species